UAGUUGUUGAGAAGUGACUUAAUUUUAAGCGGAAGGGAUUCUUUCUUUAGGGUUUUAAUAAAAAAGGUUAGGUGGGUGACGUGUAAUCAGCUUUGAUACCA